GUUGCCCAGAGAAGCUGUGAAUGCCCCAUCCCGGGAGGUAUUCAAUGCCAGGUUGGAUAGAGCCCUGGGCAGCCUGAUUUUAGUAGCUGGCAGCCCUACCAACCACAAGGGGAUUGAAACUAGAUUAAGGUCCCUUCCAACCCAAGCCAUUCUAUUAUUUUAUUUUUCUAUUAUUUCCUCAGAAGAUGCAGCACCAGGAGGAGAAACCCCACAUUGUCGCUGGUCUCUGCAAAUGGAUUUCAACGAUAAGCAAACACUUAUGUGGUCAUCCUUCUAUAUUUUUCCUUUACAAAAUCAGAGAACUUCAGAAGACUCUCUUUGAAAAGGGAACAGAGGCACAAAAAGAAGCCCCUGGUGUCCUGAGAAGGUGACCUGCUGAGGACAAGAAAAGCGAUGGGAGACCUUGAAAUCAAAAUCAUGAAGGGAAAUGUGCUUUGUCCCAGUGGCAGAAGUCACAGCCCAGUCACCUCUUAUGGAAUUUGUUGGACUCGGUGCAGCUGCCACAUUACUAGAUGAAUUUUGGUGAG